UCGUGACAAUUUCUCUAUCAGAUAUUGCGUCUAAGCAGAUGAGAUAUUUAGAUGCAAAAAAGCACACAAUACUGUUGACAAUUAAUGAUCAUAUAUAUUUGUAAUAAAAGUACGAACAAAGAUACAUCACAACAUGCAUCAACAAACAACAUAACAGGCAUACAUUACAAUAAUCUGAGGCCUCAGAUGGGAGCUUCUCUUUGCGUGUUACUUCAUUCUCUGAAGGUACGCUGGGGAGAAGUCCACCGAGUGUUUGAAAUCAAUGAGUUCUUAUUCACUUCGGUUGGCUUCUGAAGGGGCAGAUGGUUAUCUUUACAACUGAAGCUCCCCUGGAUGCCAUUGGAGGGGGUAGCGGCCGUGCCAUCUAACCUUCUGGCUUCGUUGACGCUAGCCAGGGGGUCGAGGAAACAAGCCCAUACAUCAAAGCAUUGCUUGUAAUCUGAUUUACAACACACGAAAACAUAGGAACAGGCAGGCAAUAAAAUGCAUCACACGACUCUCGAACGUUCACACUUUAAAUGACCCAAAAGGAGAGCAGAAGGCAGACACUAUAUAAAAUUACACAGAAUAGCAACAAAACUUAAAUUCAUAUAGACCAAAACAAUACAACAUGUAGAUUUUCCAUCACAAUCCCCCCUUUGAUUAUUUAAUAAUCACAAAA